AAAUGUAUUCUGGUCUGCCCAUG
rnacentral:piRNA from 1 species